rnacentral:rRNA from 1 species
CCUACGUGAGGCAGCAGUGGGGAAUAUUGCGCAAUGGGCGAAAGCCUGACGCCGCGACGCCGCGUGAGGGAUGAAGGUCUUCGGAUCGUAAACCUCUGUCAGCAGGGAAGAACGGUCACUGUGCUAAUCAGCAGUGAAUUGACGGUACCUGCAAAGGAAGCACCGGCUAACUCCGUGCCAGCAGCCGCGGUAAUACGGAGGGUGCGAGCGUUAAUCGGAAUUACUGGGCGUAAAGCGCUCGUAGGCGGUAUGUCAAGUCAAGGGUGAAAUCCCCGCGCUCAACGUGGGAACUGCCUUUGAAACUGGCAAACUGGAGUGUGUGAGAGGAUAGUGGAAUUCCAGGUGUAGGAGUGAAAUCCGUAGAUAUCUGGAGGAACAUCAGUGGCGAAGGCGACUAUCUGGCACAUAACUGACGCUGAGGAGCGAAAGCGUGGGUAGCAAACAGGAUUAGAUACCCUGGUAGUC